GCAACUGUAGCUCAGCGGCAGAGCACACCCCUGAUAAGGGUGGGGUCGCAAGUUCAAUCCUUGCCAGUUGCA